AAAAAAAAAAGAAGCCGAGAUUAAACGCAUGUUGGAUCAAUCAACGGUGCUUAGCUCUGUCUGUCACGGGACUGCCGUAGAAACGACGGCACGCGGUAGCGUGUCGAAAGGUGACUCUGUCGGGGACGGAAACGCCGCGUCGCGCGUGCACGAAACGUUACUUUUGAGAAUCGCGUAUAUAGAUCGGAGAAGACGUUUAACCUCUCUUCUCUUUACGGCGAAUUAACGUUCCGUCGAGGAUGGCUGAUAUCAAGCAAGAUCACAAAGGCGAGGACGUUGACAGUUACGGGAUGGGCAACAGUGCCGACCCGAAGAACAUGCAGGAACUGACGCAAUACGUGCAAACGUUGCUGGAGAACAUGCAGGACAAGUUUCAAACAAUGUCCGACCAAAUCAUAGGAAGAAUAGACGAAAUGGGCAACAGAAUAGACGAUUUGGAGAAAAACAUAGCUGACUUGAUGACGCAAGCGGGUGUUGAAGGUGGUGAUAAGUAAGGUGGCGGCUUCGCGACAGACUGAACUCCCUUUAUAAUCCACUAAUCAACAACAUCAUCCAAAGUAUCCAAGUCUCCAAACGAGUGUCCCGCGCCAGCACCAACAAGAUAGCCAACAAAAUUGGAUGGAAGCGACAGAACUUCUGGUCGUAAAACGUUCUCCGUG